rnacentral:rRNA from 1 species
UACGGGAGGCAGCAGUGGGGAAUAUUGCACAAUGGGCGCAAGCCUGAUGCAGCCAUGCCGCGUGUAUGAAAAAGGCCUUCGGGUUGUAAAGUACUUUCAGUCGUGAGGAAGGUGUUAAGGUUAAUAACCUUAGCAAUUGACGUUAGCGACAGAAGAAGCACCGGCUAACUCCGUGCCAGCAGCCGCGGUAAUACGGAGGGUGCGAGCGUUAAUCGGAAUUACUGGGCUAAAGGGCACGCAGGCGGUUAAUUAAGUUGGAUGUGAAAUCCCCGGGCUUAACCUGGGAAUGGCAUUCAAGACUGGUUAGCUAGAGUCUUGUAGAGGGGGUAGAAUUCCAUGUGUAGCGGUGAAAUGCGUAGAGAUGUGGAGGAAUACCGGUGGCGAAGGCGGCCCCUGGACAAAGACUGACGCUCAUGUGCGAAAGCGUGGGGAGCGAAACAGGGAUUAGAUAC